GAGUUCCCUUCGGGGACAUUGGUGACAGGUGGUGCAUGGUUGUCGUCAGCUCGUGUCGUGAGAUGUUGGGUUAAGUCCCGCAACGAGCGCAACCCUUGUCUUUAGUUGCCAUCAUUAAGUUGGGCACUCUAGAGAGACUGCCAGGGAUAACCUGGAGGAAGGUGGGGAUGACGUCAAAUCAUCAUGCCCCUUAUGCUUAGGGCUACACACGUGCUACAAUGGGUAGUACA
rnacentral:rRNA from 1 species